rnacentral:rRNA from 1 species
AGUCACGGGGCGGGCGCAGCCUGAUCCGCCCGCCGCGUGAGUGACGAAGGCCUUAGGGUUGUAAAGCUCUUUUGGCGGGGAAGAUAAUGACGGUACCCGCAGAAUAAGCUCCGGCUAACUUCGUGCCAGCAGCCGCGGUAAUACGAAGGGAGCUAGCGUUGUUCGGAAUCACUGGGCGUAAAGCGCACGUAGGCGGAUGUGUCAGUCAGGGGUGAAAUCCCGGAGCUCAACUUCGGAACUGCCCUUGAUACAGCACGUCUCGAGUCCGAGAGAGGUGAGUGGAAUUCCUAGUGUAGAGGUGAAAUUCGUAGAUAUUAGGAAGAGGGCCAGUGGCGAAGGCGGCUCACUGGCUCGGUACUGACGCUGAGGUGCGAAAG